rnacentral:rRNA from 1 species
AAGAAUUAAAUUAACUUAGUGGCGGACGGGCGAGUAACACGUGAGCAACCUGCCUCUUACAGGGGAAUAACAACGGGAAACCGUUGCUAAUACCGCAUAACAUGUUAAAAGGGCAUCCUUUUAACAUCAAAGGAGUAAUCCGGUAAGAGAUGGGCUCGCGUCCGAUUAGCUAGUUGGUAGGGUAACGGCCUACCAAGGCGACGAUCGGUAGCCGGACUGAGAGGUCGAACGGCCGCAUUGGGACUGAGACACGGCCCAGACUCCUACGGGAGGCAGCAGC